AAACAGUUUUAAAUAUAAAUAUGCUGUUUUUGAAACCAGAUAACACCUCUGAAGUGAUUUACAAGGCAUCUUACGAAUGUUAGCAUGCACGCCCCAGGAAUGCACAUCAUGUAAGGUCAAAUGUUAUUU